CUACCCGGAAGGUACUGAUCACCUA
rnacentral:miRNA from 1 species